GAUGAACGCUGGCGGCGUGCCUAAUACAUGCAAGUCGAGCGAACAGACGAGGAGCUUGCUCCUCUGACGUUAGCGGCGGACGGGUGAGUAACACGUGUAUAACCUACCUAUAAGACUGGGAUAACUUCGGGAAACCGGAGCUAAUACCGGAUAAUAUAUUGAACCGCAUGGUUCAAUAGUUAAAGACGGUUUUGCUUUCACUUAUAGAUGGAUCAGCGCUGCAUUAGCUAGUUGGUAAGGUAACGGCUUACCAAGGCAACGAUGCGUAGCCGACCUGAGAGGGUGAUCGGCCACACUGGAACUGAGACACGGUCCAGACUCCUACGGGAGGCAGCAGUAGGGAAUCUUACGCAAUGGGCGAAAGCCUGACGGAGCAACGCCGCGUGAGUGAUGAAGGUCUUCGGAUCGUAAAACUCUGUUAUCAGGGAAGAAGAAAUGUGUAAGUAACUAUGCACGUAUUGACGGUACCUGCUCAGGAAGCCACGGCUAACUACGUG
rnacentral:rRNA from 1 species